AUUGAACGCUGGCGGCAUGCCUUACACAUGCAAGUCGAACGGUAACAGGUCUUCGGAUGCUGACGAGUGGCGAACGGGUGAGUAAUACAUCGGAACGUGCCUAGUAGUGGGGGAUAACUACUCGAAAGAGUGGCUAAUACCGCAUGAGAUCUACGGAUGAAAGCAGGGGAUCGCAAGACCUUGUGCUUCUAGAGCGGCCGAUGGCAGAUUAGGUAGUUGGUGGGAUAAAAGCUUACCAAGCCGACGAUCUGUAGCUGGUCUGAGAGGACGAUCAGCCACACUGGGACUGGGACACGGCCCAGACUCCCACGGGAGGAAGCAGUGGGGAAUUUUGGACAAUGGGCGAAAGCCUGAUCCAGCAAUGCCGCGUGCAGGAUGAAGGCCUUCGGGUUGUAAACUGCUUUUGUACGGAACGAAAAGCCCUGGGUUAAUACCCUGGGGUCAUGACGGUACCGUAAGAAUAAGCACCGGCUAACUACGUGCCAGCCGCCGCAGUAA
rnacentral:rRNA from 1 species